rnacentral:rRNA from 1 species
UACGUAGGUGGCUAGCGUUGUCCGGAUUUACUGGGCGUAAAGCGCGCGCAGGCGGUCGUUCAAGUCGCGUGUGAAAGCCCCCGGCUCCACUGGGGAGGGUCACGCGAUACUGAUCGACUCGAAGGCAGGAGAGGGUAGUGGAAUUCCCGGUGUAGUGGUGAAAUGCGUAGAUAUCGGGAGGAACACCAGUGGCGAAGGCGACUACCUGGCCUGUUCUUGACGCUGAGGCGCGAAAGCUAGGGGAGCAAACGGG